rnacentral:rRNA from 1 species
AAUAGAUACCCCGGUAGUCCACGCCGUAAACGAUGAGUGCUAAGUGUUAGAGGGUUUCCGCCCUUUAGUGCUGCAGCUAACGCAUUAAGCACUCCGCCUGGGGAGUACGGUCGCAAGACUGAAACUCAAAGGAAUUGACGGGGGCCCGCACAAGCGGUGGAGCACGUGGUUUAAUUCGAAGCAACGCGAAGAACCUUACCAGGUCUUGACAUCCUCUGACAACUCUAGAGAUAGAGCGUUCCCCUUCGGGGGACAGAGUGACAGGUGGUGCAUGGUUGUCGUCAGCUCGUGUCGUGAGAUGUUGGGUUAAGUCCCGCAACGAGCGCAACCCUUGAUCUUAGUUGCCAGCAUUUAGUUGGGCACUCUAAGGUGACUGCCGGUGACAAACCGGAGGAAGGUGGGGAUGACGUCAAAUCAUCAUGCCCCUUAUGACCUGGGCUACACACGUGCUACAAUGGAUGGUACAAAGGGCUGCAAGACCGCGAGGUCAAGCCAAUCCCAUAAAACCAUUCUCAGUUCGGA